AUUGAACGCUGGCGGCAUGCCUUACACAUGCAAGUCGAACGGCAGCGGGGGAGAAGCUUGCUUUUCCUGCCGGCGAGCGGCGAACGGGUGAGUAAUACAUCGGAACGUGCCCUGUAGUGGGGGAUAACUAGUCGAAAGAUUAGCUAAUACCGCAUACGACCUGAGGGUGAAAGUGGGGGACCGCAAGGCCGCAUGCUAUAGGAUCGGCCGAUGUCGGAUUAGCUAGUUGGUGGGGUAAAGGCCUACCAAGGCGACGAUCAGUAGCUGGUCUGAGAGGACGAUCAGCCACACUGGGACUGAGACACGGCCCAGACUCCUACGGGAGGCAGCAGUGGGGAAUUUUGGACAAUGGGCGAAAGCCUGAUCCAGCAAUGCCGCGUGUGUGAAGAAGGCCUUCGGGUUGUAAAGCACUUUUGUCCGGAAAGAAAUGGCUCUGGUUAAUACCUGGGGUCGAUGACGGUACCGGAAGAAUAAGGACCGGCUAACUACGUGCCAGCCGCCGCGGUAA
rnacentral:rRNA from 1 species